GGAGGCUUUGAAGUGUGGACGCCAGUCUGCAUGGAGCCGACCUUGAAAUACCACCCUUUAAUGUUUGAUGUUCUAACGUUGACCCGUAAUCCGGGUUGCGGACAGUGUCUGGUGGGUAGUUUGACUGGGGCGGUCUCCUCCUAAAGAGUAACGGAGGAGCACGAAGGUUGGCUAAUCCUGGUCGGACAUCAGGAGGUUAGUGCAAUGGCAUAAGCCAGCUUGACUGCGAGCGUGACGGCGCGAGCAGGUGCGAAAGCAGGUCAUAGUGAUCCGGUGGUUCUGAAUGGAAGGGCCAUCGCUCAACGGAUAAAAGGUACUCCGGGGAUAACAGGCUGAUACCGCCCAAGAGUUCAUAUCGACGGCGGUGUUUGGCACCUCGAUGUCGGCUCAUCACAUCCUGGGGCUGAAGUAGGUCCCAAGGGUAUGGCUGUUCGCCAUUUAAAGUGGUACGCGAGCUGGGUUUAGAACGUCGUGAGACAGUUCGGUCCCUAUCUGCCGUGGGCGCUGGAGAACUGAGGGGGGCUGCUCCUAGUACGAGAGGACCGGAGUGGACGCAUCACUGGUGUUCGGGUUGUCAUGCCAAUGGCACUGCCCGGUAGCUAAAUGCGGAAGAGAUAAGUGCUGAAAGCAUCUAAGCACGAAACUUGCC
rnacentral:rRNA from 1 species